rnacentral:rRNA from 1 species
UGGGGAAUAUUGGACAAUGGGCGAAAGCCUGAUCCAGCAAUUCCGCGUGUGUGAAGAAGGCCUUCGGGUUGUAAAGCACUUUAGUGGGGGAAGAAACAGCUUGGCCACACCAAGCCUUGACGGUACCCCAAGAAUAAGCACCGGCUAACUCUGUGCCAGCAGCCGCGGUAAUACAGAGGGUGCAAGCGUUAAUCGGAUUUACUGGGCGUAAAGGGUGCGUAGGUGGUUUUUUAAGUCGGAUGUGAAAGCCUGGGGCUCAACCUCAGAAUUGCAUUCGAUACUGGGAAACUAGAGUUCGGUAGAGGGCGGCGGAAUUUCCGGUGUAGCGGUGAAAUGCGUAGAUAUCGGAAGGAACAUCAAUGGAGAAGGCAGCCGCCUGGGCCUGGACUGACACUGAGGCACGAAAGCGUGGGUAGCAAACA